UUGAUGGCGACGGCGCACGGGUGCGUAACGCGUAUCCAAUCUACCGCAUACUCGGGGAUAGCCUUGCGAAAGUAAGAUUAAUACCCGAUGUUGUGCAUUGCCCGCAUGGGCGGUGUACCAAAGAAUUUCGGUAUGCGAUGAGGAUGCGUCCCAUUAGGUAGUUGGUGAGGUAACGGCUCACCAAGCCUCCGAUGGGUAGGGGUUCUGAGAGGAAGAUCCCCCACACUGGAACUGAGACACGGUCCAGACUCCUACGGGAGGCAGCAGUGAGGAAUAUUGGUCAAUGGGCGAGAGCCUGAACCAGCCAAGUAGCGUGCAGGAUGACGGCCCUCUGGGUUGUAAACUGCUUUUAUACGGGGGUAAAAAACGCCACGUGUGGCGUCUUGCAAGUACCGUAAGAAAAAGGACCGGCUAAUUCCGUGCCAGCAGCCGCGGUAAUACGGAAGGUUCGGGCGUUAUCCGGAUUUAUUUUUUUUUUAGGGAGCGUACGCGGCCGUUUAAGUCAGCUGUGAAAGUUUGAGGCUCAACCUUAAAAUUGCAGUUGAUACUGGAUACCUUGAGUGUGCGC
rnacentral:rRNA from 1 species